rnacentral:sRNA from 1 species
CAUGCACUUGACCCCCACACCAGCUAGCUUAGAAGGUCCAAACACUAUUUGGCACUACCAGAUCCUUCCACUUAGCAAAGACAGCAGAUCCUGGUGCCAGGGCACAGGGCUCACCUGGAUGUGGGGAGGAGUGGCUCUGGCACCUGCCAGUACUUUGGGUCCUACAGGCCCUGCUUGAGGUCUUUGGCCUCUUUGGUCUUUGGUCUUUUUCUCCUGGAACAGAAGUUGAAAUGGGGAGGAGACUUGGGCAGUGCUCUUGGAAAUUAACCCUUCACUUCUCUGCCCCUGUGUUUCAGUUCAAAUCAGCCUUCUCAUCUGCGGAAACCACAGAAUUGAGUGGCAAAUGUGUGGUGGCUUUGGCAACAGGUGAAGUUUGGGGGCAGCUGGUAAUAAGAAAGGGCAUGGAGGAUGUGUAGUGCGGUAGCAUCCAGUGCCCAGAUCUGGCUCGGGAGUUGGUUGAGGAACAUGUCAUUCUUUUCUCUGCUUUUUGAGGCCCAAGGGGUCAGCAUUCCCAGUUUGAGGUCUGAGAGCCUUAGGAGCAGGCUCCUGGGAAGUGUGGAAAAAGUCCAAGGCCCAAGAGCCUUCCUAGGAACAGAAAGAAAGAGUUCUCCAGGGAUCCUGAGCUCCAGGGCUCUCAGCAGUGCCCUGUCCAACUGGGCCCAAACCUUGUCACUCUGCAUACUCCCCUGCCUGCCAUCUCCACCUGUCUGUGUGCCCGCAGAUCCCAAUAUCCUGAGCCUGAGUGGUAAGGUGCUGCCAUCCUGUGACCUUGCUCGACGCUAUGGCCUUCGGGAUGUGGACGGCCGCCCUGUCCAAGACUAUUUGUCUUUGAGCUCUGUUCUCUCACACGUGUCCGGCCUGGGCUGGCUGGCCUCCUACUUGCCCUCCUUCCUCCGUGUGCCCAAGUGGAUUAUUGCCCUCUACACUAGCAAGUUCUAACCCUCCUGGUCUGACACCACGUCUGUUUGUCUUCUCAUUUGGGCUUGGUGGUUUGUCCUAUCUCAAUGAAACAGCAGCCUUUCUUGCUUACCCAUACCCUUGAUAUGAAGAGAAGCCCUCUGCUGUGUGUCCGUGGUGAGUUCUGGGGUGCGCCUAGGUCCUUUCUUUGUGCCUUGGUUUUCCUUGUCCUUCUUUUUACUUUUUGCCUUAGUAUUGAAAAAUGCUCUUGGAGCUAAUAAAAAUCUCAUUUCUCUUUCAA